rnacentral:lncRNA from 10 species
CCAGGAGCGUCUCGGAGCUGCACCAGGAUGGGGAUCAAACUGUUGAAAUAAAUCAACCUAACGAGGCCGCCAGGAAGGACCGACUACAGAGAUUCGUCCUGCCCAGACAUUUUGUACUCGCUUCUUGACCCCUUCCUCAAAAUGGACGGUAGAUGAAAACUCACUAUGCUGCCCAGACUCGUCUCGAACUCCUGGGUGUCACGCGUGUCCGUAUAGAAGACCACCUAAACAGGCUUUGUGUUCACGUGUUGAAAUCCUAACUCCAAAUAUGAUGAUAGGAGGAGAUGGGGCCUUCGGGAGGUGAUGAGGUCAUGAGGGUGGAAUCCUCAUGAAUGGUCUCAACGCCCUUAGAAAAGAGACCCCAGAGACCUCGCUCCCGCUUUCUACUGUGGGAGAAUGCAGCAAGAAGUCAGCCGUCUAUGAACAAGGAAGCAGGUCCUCUCCAGGCACUGAAUGUACCAGUGCCUUGAUCUUGGACUUCCCAGCCUCCAGAACUAUGACAAUAAAUUCUGUUGUUUAAGCUACAUGGUCUAUGAUACUUUUGUUAAAGAAGCCCAAAGUGACUAAGACAGGCAUCAAACAAUAUAUUGUCCUUUGUGAUGGAUCCUUUCACUUUGCAUAAUGUUUUCAAGGUCUAUCCAUUUUAUACCACAUAACAGCACCUCCUUUGCUUUCAUGGCUGAAUAAUAUUCCAC